rnacentral:rRNA from 1 species
UACGUAGGGGGCAAGCGUUGUCCGGAAUUACUGGGCGUAAAGCGCGCGUAGGCGGAUUUGCAAGUUGGGGGUGAAAGCCCGAGGCUCAACCUCGGAACUGCCCUCGAUACUGCAAAUCUCGAGUCCGAGAGAGGUGAGUGGAAUUCCUAGUGUAGAGGUGAAAUUCGUAGAUAUUAGGAAGAACACCAGUGGCGAAGGCGGCUCACUGGUCCGGUACUGACGCUGAGGUGCGAAAGCGUGGGGAGCAAACAGG